UACGGAGGAGGCAAGCGUUAUCCGGAAUUAUUGGGCGUAAAGAGUCCGUAGGUGGCGAUUCAAGUCUGCUGUCAAAGCGUGGAGCUCAACUCCAUCAAGGCAGUGGAAACUGAAUGGCUAGAGUCCGGUAGGGGUAGCGGGAAUUCCCAGUGUAGCGGUGAAAUGCGUAGAGAUUGGGAAGAACAUCGGUGGCGAAAGCGCGCUACUGGGCCGGAACUGACACUGAGGGACGAAAGCUACGGGAGCGAAAGGG
rnacentral:rRNA from 1 species